rnacentral:tRNA from 14 species
GCCACCGGUGAUGGGGCUGGGCUUCAAGCCCGUGAA